rnacentral:lncRNA from 1 species
UACUUGAAUGAAAAUUUUCAAGCUUUUGUGAAUUUCAGUUAACACAUACAUUUGUCAUCUUUGCUUUUUAUCACUUUUUCUUGAGGGCAUGGCUAAAGAGUUUCAUAAUCUCACACUAAGAUUUUAUCCAUAGUACUCAUAGAUGUGAAUUAUUAACAACUUAUAGGAGUUUUAUAAUAUUAGGUUAAAGUUUUGUUUCUACAGUUAUUUGUCAGCUUGUUAUAAAACGUUGACACACACUUUUAGAUUAUAUAAAUUUGCUAUUUUUAAUUUUGAUCAGUUUCCAGUUAUUUAUAUUUACUUUGGGGAUAAAAGUUGAUCA